AUCACUUCUCGGCCUCUUGGCUAGGAUCAAGCGUAGUAUCUGUUCUUACCAGUUUAAUAAGUCUUAUUGGGCAGUGAGGACACCGCCC
rnacentral:snRNA from 1 species